AUGUCCUUUAAGUUAGUCCCGUGAGGCUAGUAAGGAGCGGUUAAAUAUUACUUAGCAUGACUAGGUUUUUAUCUCGCAACCCCUAGACUACACGGAUGGUGUAGCUAGGGGUUUUCUUA
rfam:Lactobacillus coleohominis 101-4-CHN genomic scaffold supercont1.1, whole genome shotgun sequence.